rnacentral:lncRNA from 1 species
AUGUCUGCAGCUACCACGCCCAAACUAAAAUUCAAUGAAUAUUUAGAUCAGAGUAUGAUUGAUAGAGCGGGAGGUAAAGAACAGUAUGGGAAAGUGGAGAAAGUGUGGAAAGGAUUACGGAUAAGAUGGACACAAGCAGGUUAUUUUAGCGGAGGACCACCUACAGGGGGGAAACUCCAAGAUAUGCAGACAGAAUUAGAGGACGCAGUAGAGCAUGCAAAAGCGAGUGAGGCGGAGAGAAACAAGAUACACAGGUUCAAAAAAGUAGGUACAAGAGAGAGAGCGGAGGUGGAGCUCAAGAUAGGUACAUGGGCCAUACAGGAGAGUAGGAGGGUGCUACCCAAAAACACACCAGACAUGAUGUGCGUGGCUAUUGUGGCGUCGGGGGAUGUUAAAGCUCCGCCUGAGAACUUGCCCACGGCUCCCCCUGUGGCCGUUUCUCCCUCACUAUAUCCACAAUUGACAAUGGAGGCAGUUCAGCCCCAGCCAUACUCAAAGGGACAAAAUCACCGGAGCCUGUCACACAACCCAUUCCUGCCCAGGGCACCUCCCACAAUACAGGCUCCAGUUCUGAGAAUAGACCAAGGGGAGUUAAAAGGGGAAAUUACCCUGGGGAUAACGGCUGGCCAUAUGGUAUGUGAACAGUUCGAAACUGGGAUUCCAGGAGCAGGAGACCUCCCCCAGGAACGGAGGCCGCAAUGCUCCUCUGUGAACUCUCUCACCUCUGAAACCAGAGGACACCUACAAACAAGAUUAGAUUCAAACCACUUCUAUCAGACGGAUAGGGAGGACUGUCAUCAGAACAUAGAUAUCGAAAACGAAGAAGAAAUUGACAUGGUGCUCACCCCAGCUCCGAUGGGAGCUCCAAACGUGACUAAGAUGCAGGAGCUGCUGAAAUCAUCAAUAGCUCGAGCUAAGGAACUCAGGGAGCUAAUAGCUAACCAAGAUAACAACAGAGAGGGAGCCUACCGUGUGGAAGGCAUAAUGAGAGGAACAGUAACCAAAGUUACCGAAUCAAUGGGGUCCGAAACACUCCGUCAGUCCUCCAGAAUUGCUGAUAGAAGAGAGCGAGAGCAGGAGAUGGCAGGACAGUACCCCCUGCGACCGACACCAGGUGAUGCACACACUGUGCAGUACCAGCCCUGGAAAAUGACUGAUUUAACAACACUGAUGGGACAGAUGCCUAGCCUACAUGGAGGAGCUUCAGCGUGGCUACUUCAACUGCAGACACUUACGUCAGGCCUGCAACUCUGCCUAGGAGACAUGAAAGCACUUCUAGCAAGAGCCACCGACCACGGAACCAUGGAGGCCCUCAUGACAGCAGCUGACCUUGGAUGGCGGGCCCCAACACUGCCCAUAGACCACUUCCGUACCAGAUUAUGGGAAGUUCUACGGAGAGCAUACCCUACAGAAAGAAACCAUGCCACCUUAUCCUCCUUCACAAUCAACCCAGGUGAGCAACCUGCAGCAUACCUGGACAGGGCUAAGACCACAUGGAGAUCGGUCCACGAAGAACCAUUCGAUCACACUGAUACCACACUCAGCAUGUGGAAGGAAAUGGUGGUCAACGGGUGUCCUGGAGAUGUUAAAACCAAACUCAGAGGAACGGUAGGGUUGAUUGCACUUCCUCUGACCCAAUUCAAUACGCAUGUGCACCACCAUGUGACCCAGCACAACAAGGAAAGAGGGGGUGCUGAGAGCCAGGUGCAGUCCCUCCAGGUACAACUCCUGAAACUCCAAUUGAAGGAAGCACAACAAGGAGAAAAACCUAAGAAACAGAUGGUGGCGGAAGAAACGAAGGAGCCGGGAACCAAAACAGACAUCUCCCAAAUAGUGGCCCAGACUGUCGCUCAGAUGAUCCAACAGCAGGCAGCCUCACUCACGGCCACUAGGGGGGCCCAACCACCCCAAUACCCUCCCCCACAACCCACACCCAUGCAUCAGCAACAGCCAGCAUACAACCACCCAGAAUCUAGCCACAUGCAGUAGGAGCAGCAAGAUUACAACCAACCCUCCCACUUCAACACCUGAUCACCCAGUAAGAAUGAUGAGGAUGCCACUCCUGCCGAUGACCACACUGUCUGAAGCCCAAGAAGUGUACUGGCUAAAAUGCCUACCCACAGGGCCUGCCACCCCUCACAUCCAGUUUAAGUUCAACCAACUGAAAGCUCAAAUCUACACUGCACCCAUAUAAGACUCCCCAAGCUGAGAUCCAUUGCACACUCAAUGCAACAGAAACGGAUGACUGCCUCUACACUGCAGACUGGGACGAAGACAUGAUGCACCUGACCCCACCUAUCAGGUGUUGUACCAUUGGGUGUGGCCCAGAGGGGGUGGCAGCACCGGUCAUCCUACGAUCAAGGAACCUCCAUGCACCCCUGGCCUGGACGGCUGAAGCAUCAACGGCCAUAGCACUCCUGAAAACAGAUCUAUCAGCGGCAGCAGCUCUGACUGCACCUGACUACAAGAACAAGUUCCAUUUGGAUGUUUCUGAAAGGGAAGGAUUCACCUCAUCCGUCCUAUUCCAGAAACAAGAGGGGGAGAGAAGGGUCUUGAUGUACUACUCUUCAAACUUGACCACAUUGAGGUAGGACAGUCAACAUGCUCCAGAUACGUUGCUGCAGUAGCAAAAGCUAUUGAAAAAACAGCUCACCUCGUGAUGUCACCCUUCAAUCAGCCAUCAUCCCUCAACCAGCAUCGGCCAAAUUAGCUGAAAUCAUCGGAUUGACGCAGGUCCUCAUCAGAGGAAAAGGAAAGACUGAAUAUCUAUACAGACUCAGCCCAUGCCCAUGAAGCAGGCCACACUGAUGGACCCAGAACUUUUAUGAGAAACACAUGGCCCCACACACGAAGGCAAACUAAAGACCCUCCAAAAAGGCCUCGCACAUCUGGUGGCACCCUCUCAUAAAAAAUAUGACUGACUUAUUUUAUGACGAUGAUUUAUUUUGUGACGAAUGCAAUGGUUGUGACAGACACAACCCAAAGAAACCAUAUCAAACACCAAUGGGCUCAUACUUAGUACCUAAUGCAUGUUUUCAGGACAUUAGUAUAGACUACACCGACAUGGGCCCUGACAAUUUAUCUAAAGGCAAACGCUAUCUCCUAGUUAUAGUAGAUAGGUUCUCCAAAUGGGUAGAGGCAAUAAUAACAAAAGGGGAGGAUGCUAGGUCAGUCUUUAAGUGGCUACAAACCAAACUAAUACCCAGGUAUGGCAUCCCAAGACAAAUCAAAUUUGACAAAUGGCUUACAUUUAACAAACACCUGAGACAGGUGGAAGAAAGAUUUGGCAUAACCCACAGAUUUGGAUCUGUGUACAGGCCCCAAUCCCAAAAUCUGGUGGAACGUCAAACCAAAAGCAAAAGCUAAGAUAGCUAAAGUAUGUGCCUCAUGGGAUAAUGACUGGUAGAGUCAUGCAUGGUCCACCAAGGGAGGGAGGUCAUAUGCCCGCCCUUGAUGUACAACAAAUUGUAAUGUCUAAUUAUGUGAAAAAACUGACGGUUCUCUCUGCAGCACUCUCUACCCAGGUUCACAAGGUCCAGGAGGGGGAGCUGCCGGGGGACACGCCACUACUGAAGGUAAAGGUUGGUGACGGGGUGAGGGUUACAGUCCACAAGAGAAAGUGGCUGGAACCCAGGUGGACUGGACCGUACGAAGUGAAGGAGGUUACUUCACACUCAGUCCAGGUCAAAGGUAAAUCAGGCACACCUUGGCACCGCCUUACACAUUGCACCCCAGCCCCAAUUCCUUCUAGAACACUGACUGAAGUCAGAGCUGAUUUGAGCGGCCUAAAUUCGAUUCCAAAUGAAGACACUCCUUCCUCAGGUGAUGCGGCAUCAAACUCCGCCUCCCCUGAGAAGGGAACCUCGCCCAGUUAGAGGGAAAUUUCUCCCUCUCUGGGUGAGGCUGGGGAUAUCUGGUCCCUUAUUUGUGAUAUUCCUUCUGAUAUUUGGAGUAACCAUAGGACUUUCACAUGGUAAAUUGAACAACUAUUUCACCCUGCCACAUCACAUACACCAACCCCUACACAUGUCCCUAACUCCUUUCCUGAUAUCACUCCCUCCAAUCACUCCCGUCCCAAACGUAGCACUACACCUACAGACCCACCAUGCAAACCAGACAAGGUUAGGAGCACCACCUUAUGUAUACCCACGAUUGCAACCGCCACCUUUCUGCUAUAGUUUUCACGUCUAAUAGAUGUGAAGAGGGGGAUUUGUUAUAUAAAUAUUCAUACACAUAGCUCAUAUAAACAAAGACAUUCCGUCGUAAGAACACAUACACCCAGCCAUAAGACUGACCCCCUCUUCCUUAUAUAAACACACAUCUCAUCUCCCUCUAACUGGCCGGUCCCAAGAGCAAAGAACUUUUGCUGUGCACCAAUGGGGCCCGCUCUGGCUAGAGCAAAGCCCGCCUCCAACCCUCCGACCAGUCAAGAAGACCGAAACGACAAGACUCCACCUACUUUAUUCUAUGUAUAAAAAUGUAUGUAACCAUUGUAUAGGCCUCUUUUUCACCUGGCUCCUUGCCGAGUUAUGUGAACUAGGUCCGUGCACGUAAAACUGCGGGACAAGAUAUCUCUGACUCAUUAAAACUGUCUUUUGUUACAACUGAAAUCCACUCUGUCCAGCGUCCGUGAUUUGGUCUCAACUCUCCAGUAUUUGAACACUAACAAUACAGACACUAGUGACCAUAUUUUUCCAGGCAAAAACAUACAAAUAGCUGAAUUAGAAUCUAAAAUCAAUUUUAGUCUAUCGGUGUCAAAGCUGAGAUACGAACCUCAGUGUCCCGCGUAAUUUUACCGUUAAUCCACCAACACUAUUGAAAUGAUUGAGUUUCCCCGCCAAUAACUAUAUUAUUAUAAUUGUCUGUAGUCGCAAACUCCGGCACCGAGAAUUCCCAGAAAUAGUCCUAAUUUAAACCCUUCCUGACUAUUUUAGCGGUAUCAGUUUCUAUUCAGGGUUCAUCAUCCUCUUUUGUCUGAGUCAGACUUUGGGCGCCUCCCUUCCUUUUCCUUUGUUCUCAGCUCUCUUCCUCGCCUCGGCUAACCAUAUCCUAGCUGUAUUUAGCCCCUCUGCCCGUUGUUUAUCUGUCUUGUCUCCACUAACCCUAUUUAUUUGUUUAAUCAUUGAUUCCAGUUUUUCUUUAUUUAAACGUUCAUCAAAUUCGUACUUACUCCUCCAUGUCUGGCUAAAAUAGGUGUUCCUCUUAUCUUCUUCCUGCAUAUAUUUCUAAUCUCCCGUUAAUUUCGGGACCUCCUUUGAGGAUUUACUACCAAUGGUUAAUAAAUCAUUGCCGCUCCUAGUAGCAAUGUUGGUACUUAUCACUAUCUAUGUGUAUAUAUAUAUAUUUCUAUGACCUAUGUAUGUGCUUUUUACCAUUACCUAGUCACUAUGGCUGUUCUACUGCCUGACUAUGUGUGUGUCUCUUUAAUGAUUACAAUCUAUGUGUAUGGAUUUCUAGUUGUGUUUUCUCCUUUAUGGAAACCUUAUCAAUAGCUUUAACUGUUGAAUCAGAUAUUAGGUCUUACCUAUACAACUAUAAGCCCAGGGGUCGUAAAUCCCUAGUUAACGUCUUAUAUCAGGUUGUGUCGGAGGGCUUUUAAAGUACACUAAUAUCUUUAUCUCACGCCACUAUUUUAGGUUUCCCUCUCUCCUGGAACCUCUUGUUUAUAGAUUUGGCUUUUAUCCCAAUCCUCUAGAUUUUGGCUUCCCUCUCCUCCUCAUUUGGACUUUAUUUCAGUACUAUUUGUUUAAUUGUAACGAUGGUCAAUACUCCCAGAGUUGAAUUGACCAUUCAAGUUAUCUUGUACGCAUAGAAUUCCCUUCCUGUCUUCCCACGCCUAGUUAAUAUCCUAUUUGUACAAGAUCACCGUCCUAUCCCCCAGCACCUAUUUAAAAUCCCCUCUUAAUCUCGGGCGAACAUGCCUCUCAUG